UACUAAAGUUCGUGGAGCGUUGUUCUUUACUAGAUACGUGUCCGAGUCAAUGACUCGAUACAUCUGGUGCAUCGUAGACCAUUCCAGUGCACUGUAAUCCUUAAAAAGUAUUAUUUUAUUUUAAUAUAUAUAUAUUUAAAUUUUAUAUUUGUUAAUAUAAAGAUAUUGAAGGUAUCAUAAAAUAAAUUUAAUUAAUUAGAUUUU
rnacentral:lncRNA from 1 species